CUUCCCUGCUUCACUCCUCACUUCCUGCAUCAGAGAAUUGACCCUGACCUUUGUUGGCUGCAGUAUCAGGUGAACUAGCCAGGGCAGUGCUGGAGAGCUGAUCCUCCUGGUGCAGGCACAGGUGAACUGGCAGGCUGAUCAAGUCAACUACCUCCCAGUCCCCAGAUCUAGGGCAUUGAGUUGGCCCACCUCAACAUUUACCCCAUCUAUUAUCUGUUGGAGUGCAUGAAAGGGCUAGUUCCUCGGAUUCAAAGCUGCAGAAUCUCCAUGACACAGGGCAAUAACAGGAUAUCAGAGAUGAGUCCCUGUGAGGAUCCAGAACAGAUAAUGUAGCAGAAGUCAGAGGCUUCAAAAACAGACCAAUGACUCAUUGCAAUGAACAUUUGCA
rnacentral:lncRNA from 1 species